AUACGGAGGGUGCAAGCGUUAUCCGGAUUUACUGGGUUUAAAGGGUGCGUAGGUGGGCCUGUAAGUCAGUGGUGAAAUCUCCGAGCUUAACUCGGAAACUGCCAUUGAUACUAUAGGUCUUGAAUUAUCUGGAGGUGAGCGGAAUAUGUCAUGUAGCGGUGAAAUGCUUAGAUAUGACAUAGAACACCAAUUGCGAAGGCAGCUCACUACGGAUAUAUUGACACUGAGGCACGAAAGCGUGGGGAUCAAACAGGAUUAGAUACCCUGGUAGUCCACGCCCUAAACGAUGGAUACUCGACAUACGCGAUACACUGUGUGUGUCUGAGCGAAAGCAUUAAGUAUCCCACCUGGGAAGUACGAUCGCAAGAUUGAA
rnacentral:rRNA from 1 species